rnacentral:rRNA from 1 species
UACACGAAGAACCUUACCAGGGUUUGACAUACAGUAGUAGGGAAGGAAACUGGACGACCCUUCGGGAGCUUGUACAGGUGCUGCAUGGCUGUCGUCAGCUCGUGUCGUGAGAUGUUCGGUUAAGUCCGCUAACGAGCGCAACCCUCGCUGUGUGUUACAAGUGUCACACGGAACUGCCGGUCAUAAACCGGAGGAAGUGGGAUGACGGUCAAGUCAGCAUGGCCUUUAUAUCCUGGGCUACACACACGCUACAAUGGGAAGGGACAAUAGGUUGCGAAGCCGCGAGGCGGAGCCAAUCCAGCAAAACUUCCCUCAGUUCAGAUUGCAGGCUGCAACCCGCCUGCAUGAAGUUGGAGUUGCUAGUAAACGCAGGUCAGCCAUACUGCGUUGAAUACGUUCCCGGGGCUU